GUGCUUGCUUCAGCAGCACAUACGCAGAACUAAAAGUAGAAUGAUACACAGAAGACUGGCACGGCCCCUGCAUAAGAAUGACACACAAACUCCCGAACCAUUCCAUACAGUA
ensembl:snRNA U6 U6 spliceosomal RNA